GUAAAUAUCAGAAGUUAGAAAAAUCACCAUGUAUUUAUCUAGGUAUAUAUGAACAGUGCCAAUCUUAUGAUGGUUUGAUUCAUAAUUUUUUGACUUUAUAAUGGUUCAAAACUGAUAUACAUUCUGUAAAAACCACACUUCAAAUUUGGAAUUUUGCUCUUUACCUGGGCUGGUGAUAUGUGGUAUGAUGCUCUCUCAAGAUGAUGGUCAGUAGCUAUGAGCACAGCUCCCAGUCAGCCACACAAUCACAAAGGUAAACAAUGAAUACUCUCCAGUGCACCAUGUUGCUUGAUAAUUUUGCCCAACUGUAGACUAAUGUAUGUGUUCUGAGCAUGUUUAACGUAGGCCAGGCUAAGCUUUGGUGUUCAGUAGGUUAGGGGUCUUAAGUGCAUUUUUUUAACUUAUGAUAUUUCAGCUUACGACAGGUUUAUUGGGACAAUGCCAUCAUAAAUCAAGAAGCAUCUGUAAGUCCACUGAAAUAAAACGCAAACCAGCAACUCAGAGAGGUUCAUUGACUUGCCGAAGGCCACAAAGCUGUUAAGUGUUCAAACAGAUGGCGUCAAACCAGAUCUUUAGCCUCAGGGACCAGAGCUCUGCAGCCUGGAGGGGACCUUCUGCAGCAUCAUUGCACAGAAGACAUCAAUCAAUCAGUCUUUCAGUGGCCUUACAUUUUUCUCCACUUGCAGGUUAUGGGUCACCAUUUUACAAAUUCCUCCAGGACAGAAAGAAACUGUUUCUCCUGCCUGUUCUUUCCCAGCCCAGGCUGUCACCGGGGAUCCAAAUGUCAGGCUUUAUGCAAGUUCUCGAUGUUGGAACCUCUCAUGAAAAGUGGAGUGAACAAGAGGGAAAGUGGGCAAACCUCAGGCCUCACAGCUUUAAUGCCACCGAUGCAUUUGGUGAGGGACCUGAUCUCUCUGCUUCCAAGACAGAGUCUUGUUGCUGUCUUCCGGAGGGGAGGAACCCCGUGUCCUCACGUGGCAGAAGAGCAUAAGAGAGCAAACCCACUCCUUCAAACUCGCCUUUUAGAGAUGGGGUCUCACUCUGUCACCCAGGCUAGAGCGAGCAUAGUGGUAUGAUCCUAGCUCAUUGCAGCCUCAAACUCCUGGGCACAAGCCAUCCUCCUGCCUCAGCUUUCUGAGUAGCUGGGACUACAAGUAUGUGCCACAGUGCCCAGCUAAUUUUUUAAUUAUUUUUUGUAAAGACAGGGUCUUGCUUUGUUGCCCAGGCUGGUCUAGAACUCCUGGGCUCAAGCAAUCCUCCCCCCUCAGACUCUCAAACUGCUGGGAUUACACUGUGAGCUAACACUCCUGGCCUGCAAACACUUUUUAUAAUGAGUGUCAUUAGUCCAUUUAUGCAGGCAGAGCUCUCAUAACCUAAACACCUCCCAUUAGGCCCCACCUUUCAACAUGGUUGCACUGGGGAUUCAAUUCCCAAUACAUGAAUUUUUGGAGGGGACAAAAACAUUUAAACCAUAGCAUACCUCUAAUCAAAGGCCCUUCACUGUCCACACUUCUUACUGCUCUUCACAACAUACAUCACCAAGCAGACUGAUAUUCUAGCUGUAAUUACAGAAAAACUGUUCCUUCAGCUUCAUCAUGGUGUGAUAUGUUUUAUUUCCCCCAUUUGCCCUAUAUUCUCAUAGCCGGCGAUAAAACCAAGUGGUAAAUGAGUGAUUCUGACCUUCCUAACUGGUAAGGAUCAGAAGGCUAUUGAGAGAGGGCAAGAGGAGGUAACUCAGCUAAAGCAAAGAAAACAAACAAAACCAAGUGUAAGAAACAAUCCCACAGUGGAGAACUGUCAAGCAAACUACUUUUUUUUUUUUUGAGACAGAGUCUUGCUCUGUCACCCAGGUUGGAGUGCAGUGGUGCCAUCUCGGCUCACUCGCCUCCCGGGUUCAAGAAAUUCUCCUGCCUCAGCCUCCCAAGUAGCUGGAACUACAAGCAUACGCCACCACAGCCGGCUAAUUUUUUGUUUGUAUUUUUAGUAGAGACGGGGUUUUGCCACAUUGGGCAGGCUGGUCUUGAGCUCUUGACCUCAGGUGAUCCACCCGCCUCAGUCUCCCAAAGUGCUGGGAUUACGCACAUGAGCCACCACACCUGGCCCACAACUACCUUUGGCUUUAAAAACGUGGCUUUAAAGUCUGGAGGCUGUGACCGAGCCAAAGCUAAAUGUUCCCCAAAUCCUAUUUCAUUUUCCACUUCCUGGGCACAAGGGAAGACCAUAGCUACCAGCAACCUUUCCAGUUAAUCUGAUGCCAUGUGAUCCAUUCAGGCCCACAGCUAUGAGCACACAUGAUACACAUCAUGCUCUUUUUUAAUUUGUCACAGAUAUCUUGGAAGCCAUAGGUUGAUAUAGUGGCAUCACAAAAUGAGGCAGCCUCGAUCAGGAACGACUGCAGAGAGCACAGCUGCCCCGGAGAGUCACCAGACUCUGCAUGACGCAGACACCGUGGUGCUGGGUGGAUUUGUUCCCGCAUCAUAGGCCAGGCCUUUCCCAAACAAAACAUGAAUUUCCUGUUACCUCUCAGUCUAUACGCAAAGGGUGUCAUAAAAUGUUCAAGAAGCCUCAGCUGAAUGGAGCAUUUAAAAAUGGUGAGGUCCAAUUAAGUGGGGGAAAUGAGAGAACAUGGAGGAUAUUUCAUUUGUCACAUAGUUAUGGGCUUGACCUAAGCCUCAGUUUCCUCCUCUGGAAUAUAGGAAUAAAAAUAACACCUACCUCAGGGAGCUGUGACAUUUUUAAGAAAGGAUUUAUUUCACAAACAUUUACAUAGUAUUUACUAUGGCCAGGCACAGUUCUAGGUUUUGUUUUUGUUUUUUUUUUUUUUUACCAGUGUUCACAUGUUCAGUCCUUGUAUUAGUUUCCUGGGGCUGCUGUAGCAAAUUAACCACGAACUGGGUGUCUAAGACAAUGGAAGUUUAUCCUCUCACAGUUCUGGAGGCCAGAAGUCUGAAAUCAAGGUGUUACCGGGGCCAUGCUCUCUCCAAAGGUCCUAAUGAAGAAUUCUUUCUUGCCUCUUCUAGCUUCCGAGCAGGGAUAGGACAUUCUAUUGGCUUCCAGGAAUUCCUGGCAUUCCUUGGCUUGUAGCCACAAGACAUUAUAAUCAUCCUACAAGGGGGUACUAAUAUUAUUCCCACUUUACAGAUGAGAAACCUAAGAGAAAAUAAGCAACUUGCCCGCUGUGGGCCACUUGACUCUCAAGUUUUUGUCGGGACACUGUGUUGUUUCUGAGACAAUACACGGGAAGUACUUUCCACAAUGCCUAAUAAAUGUUAGGGGUUUCAUGCACCAAGCUCAGCGCCAGAGACUGGACAGACAAAUAUUAGCAGGGAAGAAUCCCUCCUUCCCUGUGGUUACCGUAUUUUAAAGGGAAUAAGCAGGGCACAGUGGCAUGUACCUGAAAUCCCAGCUACUGUAGAGGCUGAGAAAGGAGGAUGGCUUGAGGCCAAGAGUUCGAGACCAGUCUGGGCAACACAGUGAGACCUCAUCUCUAAAAAUAAAUACAUCAAUAAUAGCCAGGCGUGGCAGAGCAUGCCUAAAGUCCCAACUACUUGGGAGGCUGAGGUGGAAAGAUCAUCUGAGCCCAGGAGUUCAAUGCUGCAAUGAGCUAUGAUUGUGCCACUUCACUCCCACCUGGGCAACAGAGUGAGACCCUGUCUCUUUUUUUUUUUUUUUUUUUUUUUUUUUUUUUUUUUUUAAAGAGGGGGCUGAGGCAGAAGAAUCGCUUGAACCUAGGAGGCGGAGGUUGCAGCGAGCCGAGAUUGCGCCAGUGCACUCCAGCCUGGGCGACAGAGUGAGACUCUGUCUCAAAAAAAAAAAAAAAAAAAAAAGAAAGAAAGAAAGAAAAAAGAAAAAAAAAAAAGAGGGAAUAAAAAAAUGUCAUCAUAAUUCCAAGUAGAAAGCUCUAAGAGUUACAAGACAGACUAAACAAAAUGCUAAGGAUUUAAAGGAAGAAAUUUGAAGAUAAUUAGAAAUACCUUAUAGAAAAGGAGGAUUCAACCUGGAUGUCUAACGGGUGAUAGUAGGAGUGGAUCAGGGGUCAGAUAAAACCUCAUGAUAGAAGGCCACGUGAUAGACAACAGCAGUAUUAAGAAAAGCCAUAUUUAUUGAGUACUUGUUAUGUGUCAGGCACUAUUCUAAGCACUUCUCACAAGUUACCACAUUAUUAUUUAAUUAUAAGGCUUUAAUCUGCUGUUGGAAUGGCUGUUUCCCUUGCUAGACCAUCAGCUUCUGGAGGCAACUUGUGUAUUCAGCUUGUAUUAGUGUGUUCUCACACUACUGUAAAGACAUACCCUAGACUGGGUAAUUUAUAAAGGGAAGAGGUUUAAUUGACUCACAGUUCUGCAUGGCUAGGGAGGCCUCAGGAAACUAUGAUCAUGGCAGAAGGCAAGAGAGAAGCAAAGGCAGGUUUUACAUAGCAGCAGGUGAGAGAGUAUGAAUGAGCGAAGCGGGAAGAGCUCCUAAUAAAACCAUCAGAUCUCUUGAAAACUCACUAUCACGAGAACAGCAUGGCAGAAACUGCCCCCAUGAUCCAAUCACCUCCCACCAGGUUCCUCCCUCAACACAUGGGGAAAAUGUGGAUUACAAUUCAAGAUGAGAUUUGGAUGGGGACACAGCCAAACCAUAUCACAGCUCUACUACUCAACUUGGCACAGAGGAGAUGCUCAAGAAGGAAGGAGGCAGGGGAAAACUUCACCCUAGAUCAGUGUGGAGUCACUGAAAGCUUCUGAGCAGGGCUGGGACAUUACCACAGGCAUGGAAGCUGAGCACGUGACAAGGAUCCUCUCCCUGACAAAACUGACUCAGCGCUCUCUCAACUAGGCCCCAAACUUGGGCCCUUUCCUUGGCCUACUUAGUCCAGUUUUAGCAAGAAUCCUGCUGGGUCAGUUUAGUGAACAUCACCUGCCUGAUAUCUUAUCACCCUGGCCUGCCUUCAGCAAGAACCCUGUUGAAUUAUUAUAGCAAGAGUCUCCCUAGCUUUAAUAUUUCCUCAUAGUAAUGUUCCAUCCACCGACCUCUUCCACCCUGUUGACUAUAAAUCUCCACUUGUCCUUGUUGUAUUCUGAGUUGAGCCUGAUUUCUUUCCCCUACUGAAAAACCCCCACUGCAACUGUCCCUCUUGAAUAAAG
rnacentral:lncRNA from 1 species